rnacentral:rRNA from 1 species
GACGAACGCUGGCGGCGUGCCUAAUACAUGCAAGUCGAACGCACAGUUUAUACCGUUGCUUGUUUCACCAUAACCUGUGACUUGCGAAUAGGUCAUUAACGCCCAGCUUAUCUGCCUGGUAUCGGUGGAUGACUACUGGGCACGUUAGCUAAUAUCUCUUAAUCUUGAUUAUUCCAUGGUAAUUGAUUGAUAUAUUCUAUUUCAUCACUACCAGCUCGCCCUGCUGUGUAUUUGCUAGUAGGUGAGGUAACGGCUCACCUAAGCGACGAUACAUAGCCGAACUGAGAGGGUGAUCGGCCACACUGGGACUGAGACACGGCCCAGACUCCUACGGGAGGCAGCAGGAGGGAAUCUUCGGCAAUGGACGAAAGGCUGAACGAGCAACGGCGCGUGAGGGAAGAAGGUUUUCGGAUCGUAAAGCUCUGGUGUAAGAGAAGAACGGGAGUGAGAGGGGAAAGUGCACACUGUGACGGUAUCUUACCAGAAAGGGACGGCUAACUACGUG